ACCACAAACAUUAUUCUACCGCCCCAGCCCAACUGGAACACCCCAAUACCCGGCCGUUUCUCCACAGCUCUUCUUUAUCCAUACACUGACAAACCCAACAAUAAUAUUGAUGAAACAAGGCAGCAAUAUCAACACAGAACAACGCCCAAAUCACCAGAUAAUGAAAAAUCUGGUGGUUUUCAUUUCUUUCCUCGUCGGUCCUUUGUCGUCACCCAUGUUUUCAUUGCCGUCUCCAUCAAUAUCGCCUCAAUUCUUUCUCUUCCUAGUUUUUCUGACAAAUGCAGACCAAAAAGGGACUCGUUUUCUCCACUGUAGGCUUCUGAAAAGGGAGGUAUAGGGGAAUUCAAUGGUCUUUGAAGUAUUGUCUCUUUGAUUCAGCAGUCCAGUAGUUGUUCACCUUGAAGAACUCAAAUCGUCAAAUUCAAAGUCUCAAUCCUUCAAAUUUCUUCUGAAAAGAUGAUUUCCUCCUCCCCAAUACUCUCAAUCAUCACUCAAAAUUGAAUUUUGGAAAAUCUUCUUGGAGAAGCCGUUGCAACCUACCCUUUGCCUAUAAAAAAGGUCUUAUUCACUCCUUCGGGAUGGGGAAAAGUGAUAGAGAAAUUGAAUUUUUUUUUGAGUUUUAUCAUACUCUCCGAUUCACUAAGUUCUCUAUUUUCUUUACCUUAUUUUUUCGAUGAUCAUUAUUAAUCUCUCAUUCUGUCCAUAUCGCUCACUUCUCUAAGAGGUGAAACGACUAAUUGAGCUCGUCGUCCUAGUUCCUGCAUCGCAGAAGUUGAACUCCUUUCUUCUUAUGUUUAUGCAUGAACUCCCUCAUCGACUCCAUUGGACUCCCAUCUCUCGCAUUCCGUUGAGUUAAUACCAACCUCCAUCAAGUCAAGCCUCAUUAAACUCCAAAAAAUGGACUGAUAUACGCAGGACAACACUGUCACACAAACUGGUAUACGCUUGUAUACAAUGGAUAUACAGUGGGAAGCAACAACUACACACCCUUAUAUGGUGUACAAAAAAAUGAAAACAAACAUGUUGAUUUCUACACUGAUAUACAACAUAUACGAAGUGAUAUAGAGAAAAACGCAGGAAAAGGAGUUGUCGAUAUAGAGGGGCGAAAAUUGACUGAAAGUUCAUGGAAUUUGUCCAAAAGCCAAAGGGCCCAAUCGGAACUCUUCUCUAUUUAUUUCCCAGGCUAACUUGUUUAUUUGUAUUUACUUAACACUUUAAUUAUUAAUCUAGAAAUAAUAGUAUUUUUAAAUAUAAAUAAAUAGAAAUAAUCUCUUGAAUCAAAGUUAAUAUUUUUA